rnacentral:tRNA from 1 species
GACUUCGUGGCGUAAUCGGUUAGCGCGUUCGGUUGUUAACCGGAAGGUUCGUGGUUCCAGGCCACGUGAAGGCA